ACCUUCGGUUUGCAGCAUUGUGAUAUUUUCAACCUACCAUUUAGUUUCUCACCUUUAUAACCCCUUGAAACAAAAACUAAUUUGAUAGACAUGGUUUGUUAGUUCUUGUUUUUCUAUCUUGAAUGAGUUUUUCUCCCAUAAUUACAAGAGCAAUUUCUACAUUUUGUAAUCCGUAGUAUGGUGCUGGACAUUUUGAUAAAGAGUGCAAGGAGAGGCUUGGAUAGAGCAGAAAUAUAUAGUGUUUCAUUCUCUCCAACUGCUCAGUGGCUAGCCGUCUCCAGCGACAAAGGCACUGUUCAUGUCUUCAGCCUCAAGGUCAAUCUAGUGUACUUGAGUACUAACAACUCAAAUAGUUCACCCCACUCCCGUGUUCCUGUGGUGGCCUCUAGUUCGCUCUCCUUCAUCGGAGGUAUUUCCAAAGCAGAUUUAAGGUUUCUAGUUAUAUUUUUAAAUCUUAGAUGGGUAUCCGUUCAUACUCAAUAAAAUUAUUUGGCAUUUUAACUAGAUAUUUAUAAAUCCUGUUAAGCAAUAAAAAAUGUUGUUUGUAAGUUGUUACUCUGUCCCUAAGAACAUGACCUUUAAUUCCUAAUUUUCAGGCAUCUUUUUAAAAAGUGAGUAUAUUCUACAACAUGCACUUCAUAUAUCGGAAUUGCAAUCACUACCAUUGAGAGCAAA